AUGGCCUAUAGGAAUGAACGAGAAGGAUCAGUAAGAUGAUGCAUACAUAAACACAUGCAGGGAGACAUGUAAAUAAGUCAAGACUCCAGAAGUGAUGUCACAGCACCACCAGCCAACAGCUAAAAAACAAAUUUGAAUGCAAGUUUAUAAAAAGGUCCCAGUACACUGCACUUUAGGAAUGUGGGUCAGUGUCAAUUGUAUACAAAGAUAUAUAUUCCAACUAUUCUGCUGUGGUCGUUGAUUCUCCAUGUAAGUGUCAAUCUAGAUAUUUUACCUGACCGAAUCUGAUGCGCAAUUCAGACUCCGAAUAUAUUUUAUAAUAGGCUUUUGUGAUGUAUUUUACAGCUAUUUUGCAUUUUGCAUGUAUGAUGCAUAAUGCAUUGCCUUCUGUCUUUUGGAUCAAACGCUUGUUUAUUUGAUUAUGAUUUACUGUAACGCCCCCACUGGACAUUUCAAAUGGCAUUUACUGUACUUUACUGUAGGCUACAUUUAUUUUCGUUAGCAGGUUCGGAUACAGUCAAGAUAAUAUAUUUUUUUACUAUAGAACAUGGAUUCUGGACCAUCCAUGGUGAUGCUUUUGUCGUACAACGAUUUUGGGAUCAAGAUAAUGUCAGACAAUGGAACGCUGCAUCGAAAUGUUGAUUUAUUUGGACAUAUUUGAACUUACCUGACAAGGAGGAGGAGACGCACACAUCCUGACUCACCGAGCUCUGGGAUUUCUAUUCAUUUAGGAAAAUAAGAGGAACGUAAAAAAAAGAACCAUGAUCCGAUGAAAAAAUAAUGAUAAACUUACCAGACAUGUUGUACAAAUUAAGAAGGACUCCUGGAAGAAGAGCAGUUAUGAGAUUCCACAAUGUCCUUUUCUGGCUGAGUUAUAUGGGCUAUAUCGAAAUAUUCAUAAAAGUCACAUAAAUUCUCAACACACAAGUCUUAAAACUGUCUCAGAGCAUACAAUAAUACCCUAAUAUAGCUAGGGAUAUAUUAGUUUGUGAAAUUUUCUCUCCAUGCCUACUUUUUAAAACCCCUAGAACUCAAUGAUUUGACAAUGAUUUGAUUGCGCGUUACUUUCAAUUUGAAUAUUCAAAGGCUACUCAAAAAUACAGAUUUUUCAGUAUAAAUCAAUACAUAUGCACUUAAAAUAACAUUUCAUUUAAUAGAAUUUAAUAAUAUUUUAUACCCAAACCAAAAAUAAAUAGACAUUUUAAACAUUUUAUCCAUCUUUUGCCAAUCUGCCCAUCAGUCCCUCUUCAUAAUGAGGCACUACAGGAAAGUAACGGUUAGAUGUUCUAUGUAAACAUGACCAACAAUUAAACAUCGCAGAUCAUAUGUAUUUCAGGAUGGAUGAGCACAUCAACACGUUAUGACCAUACAUUUUUUGUCUUAUUUUAAACAAUAAACUAUGAAAUGUCUAGGUUGUGGGCGUG